GUCUCUUUUGGAUUUUAUUCAGAUAUUUAAUUGUCACUGUCAUGGAGCUUGCUCUAUCACUGGAGGAGAAAUGACAAGCCUUAUGUUUGGUGUUUGGAGGUUGCAAGUGAACGUUGCUCAUUGGAUCCAACAUCUUUUUAUUUUUCUCAAUAUUUGCAUCUUUAAUCUCAGUGACAGUAACAUGUAUGAGCAGACAGAUGGCCAAGAGUACAUCUUACAAGACUGUUCCUUCGUUGAUCCUAGACAGGAAGUUCUCUCCCAAUACAACCAAAGACCAUGUUAUCCUUUUAUGACAACCACAUCGUAUUCUUGGGCAUGCACAUAUCUGGCAUUAAGUAAUUCAUAGGGAUCUGUUUCACUUGCAACCAAUCUAGCAAGUCAAUUAAAAUGAGUUAGAAAAGAAACUCAUCAAAAAUUCUUUAAGAUUUA
rnacentral:lncRNA from 1 species